rnacentral:rRNA from 1 species
CCUACGGGUGGCAGCAGUGGGGAAUAUUGGGCAAUGGGCGCAAGCCUGACCCAGCAACGCCGCGUGAAGGAAGAAGGCCCUCGGGUUGUAAACUUCUUUUAUCAGGGACGAAACAAAUGACGGUACCUGAUGAAUAAGCCACGGCGAACUACGUGCCAGCACCCGCGGUAAUACUUAGGUGGCAAGCGUUAUCCGGAUUUACUGGGUGUAAAGGGCGUGUAGGCGGGAGAGCAAGUCAGACGUGAAAUUCCAGGGCUCAACCCUGGAACUGCGUUUGAAACUGUUCUUCUUGAGUGAUGGAGAGGCAGGCGGAAUUUCGUGUGUAGCGGUGAAAUGCGUAGAUAUACGGAGGAACAGCAGUGGCGAAGGCGGCCUGCUGGACAUUAACUGACGCUGAGGAGCGAAAGCGUGGGGAGCAAACAGGAUUAGAGACCCUGGUAGUC